AGAUUAAGUUAUUAAGGGCGCACGGUGGAUGCCUUGGCACUAGAAGCCGAUGAAGGACGUUACUAACGACGAUAUGCUUUGGGUAGCUGUAAGUAAGCGUUGAUCCAGAGAUUUCCGAAUGGGGGAACCCAGCAUGAGUUAUGUCAUGUUAUCGACAUGUGAAUUUAUAGCAUGUCAGAAGGCAGACCCGGAGAACUGAAACAUCUUAGUACCCGGAGGAAGAGAAAGAAAAAUCGAUUCCCUGAGUAGCGGCGAGCGAAACGGGAAGAGCCCAAACCAACAAGCUUGCUUGUUGGGGUUGUAGGACACUCUAUACGGAGUUACAAAAGAACAUGUUAGACGAAUCAUCUGGAAAGAUGAAUCAAAGAAGGUAAUAAUCCUGUAGUCGAAAACAUAUUCUCUCUUGAGUGGAUCCUGAGUACGACGGAGCACGUGAAAUUCCGUCGGAAUCUGGGAGGACCAUCUCCUAAGGCUAAAUACUCUCUAGUGACCGAUAGUGAACCAGUACCGUGAGGGAAAGGUGAAAAGUACCCCGGAAGGGGAGUGAAAGAGAACUUGAAACCGUGUGCUUACAAGUAGUCAGAGCCCGUUAAUGGGUGAUGGCGUGCCUUUUGUAGAAUGAACCGGCGAGUUACGAUCUGAUGCAAGGUUAAGCAGCAAAUGUGGAGCCGCAGCGAAAGCGAGUCUGAAUAGGGCGUUGAGUAUUUGGUCGUAGACCCGAAACCAGGUGAUCUACCCUUGGUCAGGUUGAAGUUCAGGUAACACUGAAUGGAGGACCGAACCGACUUACGUUGAAAAGUGAGCGGAUGAACUGAGGGUAGCGGAGAAAUUCCAAUCGAACUUGGAGAUAGCUGGUUCUCUCCGAAAUAGCUUUAGGGCUAGCCUCAAGUGAUGAUUAUUGGAGGUAGAGCACUGUUUGGACGAGGGGCCCCUCUCGGGUUACCGAAUUCAGACAAACUCCGAAUGCCAAUUAAUUUAACUUGGGAGUCAGAACAUGGGUGAUAAGGUCCGUGUUCGAAAGGGAAACAGCCCAGACCACCAGCUAAGGUCCCAAAAUAUAUGUUAAGUGGAAAAGGAUGUGGCGUUGCCCAGACAACUAGGAUGUUGGCUUAGAAGCAGCCAUCAUUUAAAGAGUGCGUAAUAGCUCACUAGUCGAGUGACACUGCGCCGAAAAUGUACCGGGGCUAAACAUAUUACCGAAGCUGUGGAUUGUCCUUUGGACAAUGGUAGGAGAGCGUUCUAAGGGCGUCGAAGCAUGAUCGCAAGGACAUGUGGAGCGCUUAGAAGUGAGAAUGCCGGUGUGAGUAGCGAAAGACGGGUGAGAAUCCCGUCCACCGAUUGACUAAGGUUUCCAGAGGAAGGCUCGUCCGCUCUGGGUUAGUCGGGUCCUAAGCUGAGGCCGACAGGCGUAGGCGAUGGAUAACAGGUUGAUAUUCCUGUACCACCUAGUAUCGUUUUAAUCGAUGGGGGGACGCAGUAGGAUAGGCGAAGCGUGCUGUUGGAGUGCACGUCCAAGCAGUAAGGCUGAGUGUUAGGCAAAUCCGGCACUCAUAAGGCUGAGCUGUGAUGGGGAGAGGAAAUUGUUUCCUCGAGUCGUUGAUUUCACACUGCCGAGAAAAGCCUCUAGAUAGAUAACAGGUGCCCGUACCGCAAACCGACACAGGUAGUCAAGAUGAGAAUUCUAAGGUGAGCGAGCGAACUCUCGUUAAGGAACUCGGCAAAAUGACCCCGUAACUUCGGGAGAAGGGGUGCUCUUUAGGGUUCACGCCCAGAAGAGCCGCAGUGAAUAGGCCCAAGCGACUGUUUAUCAAAAACACAGGUCUCUGCUAAACCGUAAGGUGAUGUAUAGGGGCUGACGCCUGCCCGGUGCUGGAAGGUUAAGAGGAGUGGUUAGCUUCUGCGAAGCUACGAAUCGAAGCCCCAGUAAACGGCGGCCGUAACUAUAACGGUCCUAAGGUAGCGAAAUUCCUUGUCGGGUAAGUUCCGACCCGCACGAAAGGCGUAACGAUUUGGGCACUGUCUCAACGAGAGACUCGGUGAA
rnacentral:rRNA from 1 species